CAGACUUGUAAGAAGGACCACCAGCUCUAAAAAGAGCCGAUGAAUUUAGAGGAAGGUUCAUCUGGAGGUCAUCGAUCUUCUAGGAGAGGAAAGAAGAAGAAGGUGCAGAAAUCUCAUGUCGCUGAUCCUAAGCAGAGCAAAAUGUCAAAGGUUGACAAGAGCCAGGCAGAGUGCUUCUUUUAUAAAAAGCUGAGUCAUUAGAAAAGAAAUUGUUCUACUUACAUAGCU
rnacentral:lncRNA from 1 species